rfam:Triticum aestivum genome assembly, contig: Triticum_aestivum_CS42_TGACv1_scaffold_393279_5AS
AGCAUACUCUCUCCGUUUCAAAUUACUCGUCGCAGAAAUGAAUGUAUCUAGAACUAAAAUACAUCUAGAUACAUCCAUUUCUGCGAAGAGUAAUUCGGAACGGAGGGAGUAGUUG